UACGUAGGGUGCAAGCGUUGUCCGGAUUUAUUGGGCGUAAAGAGCGUGUAGGCGGCCAGGUAGGUCCGUUGUGAAAACUGGAGGCUUAACCUCCAGCUGUCGAUGGAAACCAUCUGGCUAGAGUCCGGAAGAGGAGAGUGGAAUUCCUGGUGUAGCGGUGAAAUGCGCAGAUAUCAGGAAGAACACCCGUGGCGAAGGCGGCUCUCUAGGACGGUACUGACGCUGAGACGCGAAAGCGUGGGGAGCGAACAGG
rnacentral:rRNA from 1 species